GAAGCCUGCUCUGUGCCUGGAGGGGAUCCGCCGCCAUCUCAGGUCUUUCUGAUUUGCCGGCGCCCAGUGGAGGAAACUGACUAGGUCCUGUAAUACUUAUGGAAGACCAACCCUGUGCCUCCGGGAGAUCCACACUUCCACUUGGAAGCACGCGGGAAGCCAAGCCUCCAAAAAAGCGCUGCCUCCUUGCUCCGCGGUGGGAUUAUCCGGAAGGAACUCCAAACAGGGGUAGUGCUACUCUCCCCUCUGCACCUCCUCCUGCAUCAGCCGGUCUGAAAUCGCACCCUCCUCCUCCGGAAAAGUAGUGAAAUACGUAGGGUUUCCUACCCUAAACCAGUAUUCAAGGGAUUGCAGUAUGAUUCCAUUUCCCUGGUGCAGCUGUAAAAUAGUUCACCUAGUGAAGACAAUAAGGACAUUUUACACUGCUACCCUGCAUUUUCUGAUGUCCAGCACCUGGAAGAUGUGAUUUUUAAGACAAAGCAAUGGAAGGGCAUGGAAAGCACGGUAGCUGCCAUUUUUGGAGGUAUCCUGCCAUCAAGUAUAAAGUGUUUCUAUUGAAGAGAAUCAGCUGAGCACAAGAGCUGGGCCAUUGA